UGGGGAGUAUUGCACAAUGGGCGAAAGCCUGAUGCAGCGACGCCGCGUGCGGGAUGAAGGCCUUCGGGUUGUAAACCGCUUUUGAUUGGGAGCAAGCGAGAGUGAGUGUACCUUUCGAAUAAGCACCGGCUAACUACGUGCCAGCAGCCGCGGUAAUACGUAGGGUGCAAGCGUUAUCCGGAAUUAUUGGGCGUAAAGAGCUCGUAGGCGGUUUGUCGCGUCUGGUGUGAAAGUCCAUCGCUUAACGGUGGAUCUGCGCCGGGUACGGGCAGGCUAGAGUGCGACAGGGGAGACUGGAAUUCCCGGUGUAACGGUGGAAUGUGUAGAUAUCGGGAAGAACACCAAUGGCGAAGGCAGGUCUCUGGGUCGUCACUGACGCUGAGGAGCGAAAGCGUGGGGAGCGAACAGGAUUAGAUACCCUGGUAGUCCACGCCGUAAACGGUGGAUGCUGGAUGUGGGGCCCCAUUCCACGGGUUCCGUGUCGGAGCUAACGCGUUAAGCAUCCCGCCUGGGGAGUACGGCCGCAAGGCUAAAAC
rnacentral:rRNA from 1 species